rnacentral:rRNA from 1 species
AUUGAACGCUGGCGGCAUGCCUUACACAUGCAAGUCGAACGGUAACAGGUCUUCGGAUGCUGACGAGUGGCGAACGGGUGAGUAAUACAUCGGAACGUGCCCGAGAGUGGGGGAUAACGCAGCGAAAGCUGUGCUAAUACCGCAUACGAUCUACGGAUGAAAGCAGGGGAUUCGCAAGGACCUUGCGCUCAUGGAGCGGCCGAUGGCAGAUUAGGUAGUUGGUGGGAUAAAAGCUUACCAAGCCGACGAUCUGUAGCUGGUCUGAGAGGACGACCAGCCACACUGGGACUGAGACACGGCCCAGACUCCUACGGGAGGCAGCAGUGGGGAAUUUUGGACAAUGGGGAAACCCUGAUCCAGCCAUGCCGCGUGCAGGAUGACGGCCCUACGGGUUGUAAACUGCUUUUCCCCGGGGCGAACUAACCCCUCGCGAGGGGGAGUGGCCGGUACCGGGGGAAGUAAGGAAGUCGGCGUAACGUACCGUCGCCAGCACGCCGCGGUAAGUCUGU